AUUGGAAUAAUAUAUAAAACUCAAAUAUAUUAAAGUUUGUAAACCACCGAAAAUAAAUAUAAUGUUUAGUAAUGCAAAUGCAGUAAUGCAUCUAAUAAAAUAUACGAAAGUUAUGAACGACAUGUUUCGACGUGUCCCAAGUCAUCAUCAGGUAAUAACGCUUUGCUACUAACGGUUUAAAUACUACCGGUCAGAUGUAAGACGAAACAAGCAAAUAUUAAGAUCUAAUGAAAUUUCUUCGUGUUUACUUGUGUAUGGCUAACUACCGUCUAAAAUGAAGGCAUCUUUUAAAAUAAAGACAAACGAGAGAAUAUCAGCAGUAUUACAUUCAAGAUGACGAAGAAAACUCUGUGUUGUUACGGGGCCACAAAAAUCGCAUACCCAAAUCGGCCUCUUUGACCCCACUGAGGCCACGGAUGUUCUCUGAUUCUAAUAUUCUCAGCUGUCCUACUAAAUAUUUACCUGUCGGUUUCGGACUAUGAUAGUCUGGGCGCGGGCGUGGACCAGGACCAGAAGGAAUGCCUGGCAUUGAGCCCACGCCUGGACGCGAGCCUACACCUGGGCGCGAACCAACACCUGGCCG